rnacentral:rRNA from 1 species
AGAAUCAACGCUGGCGGCGUGCCUAACACAUGCAAGUCGAACGCGAAAGUGGAGCAAUCCAUGAGUAGAGUGGCAAACGGGUGAGUAACGCGUGGGCGACCUACCUCAGAGUGGGGGAUAACCUUCCGAAAGGAGGGCUAAUACCGCAUGACAUACCGUGUUUGGAUACACGGAUAUCAAAGCCGGGGAUCGCAAGACCUGGCGCUUGGAGAGGGGCCCGCGUCCGAUUAGCUAGUUGGUGAGGUAAUGGCUCACCAAGGCUCCGAUCGGUA